rnacentral:rRNA from 1 species
GUAUAGCAAUAGCUACUUGUAUCAUUGUAAAUAUGAUGCAAGCUCGACUUUGAUUGAAUAAAAUUCUAGGUAGAAUUAUGAUAAUGACAUUGUCUGCCUAUGUGUCUUGACCAAAUUACGUGCCAGCUGUCGCGGUAAUACGUAGAAGACUAGUGUUAUUCAUGUUUAAUCGGUUUAAAGGGUACCUAGACGGUAGAUCAAGCCUACAGAUAAAAGAAAUGAAGGGACUAGUUUGCUAGAGUUUCUUAUGAGGGGGUAUUAAAGUACUGCUGGUGUAGAGAUGAAAUUCUGUCAUACCUCUUUUCAAUAGAAAAAUAAUGGCACAGGUAUAGGUGAAAGCAUCCCCUUAUGUGAUAACUGACGUUGAGGGACGAAGGCUUUGUGUAGCGAACAGGAUUAGAUACCCCAGUAGUCAAAGCAGAAAAUGAUGAAUGUCAUAGAUUAGAUAUAUAAGUUUAUUCUAUAAAUGAAAGUGUAAGCAUUCCACCUCAAGAGUAAUUUGGCAACAUUGGAACUGAAAUCAUUAGACCGUUUCUGAAACCAGUAGUGAAGUAUGUUGUUUAAUUUGAUGGUCCGCAAAAAACCUUACCACAAUUUGAAUAUUUAUAUUUUUUUUUUUUAUUUUAAAUUU